UAGAAAUAUGAAAUGAGAGCAGGAGAGCACUCCCCUUGGUUAGGAUGGAAGAAGCCCUAAUGAACUUAACCAUGUUUAAGACAGUCACUCACUUUU